UACGUAUAUAGGAAAAAGGCGGUGUGGCUUCCACUGUAGGCUUCAAAAUAAUCCAGUGAAUACUAUCCACAAUAUUCAUUAUUUUCUAAAGGAGUGUCAUACGUGUAGAAUGAAGUCUAAACUAAGCAUUUCCUUUCAAGCAUUUUGUCUUUAAAGUUCACCCGAGGAGGGAAAAGACCCUUAUACUUAACAAGUUGCUGAAGAUCUUUCCCAGCACCUUUGAUAGGUGUUUUCAAAGAUUUCUUUUAAGUCGGAUUUCUCCAGGGACCACUAUCUUAUACUCUCCAAAUUCCUGGGCUAAAGAGCAUGCUCUGGUGCACAAACGCAAGCAGCCCACCGACAGACACAUCCUCUCAGUAUUAAGCUGUGUGCAGAGCAGCCGCCGCCGAGAUGUCCCAAUUGGAGAAGGAGUCCAAAAUGUGGAAGAAAACUUGUUUUGCCUGAACUGUGCACUUUCGACUUUAUGCAUCUUGAAGUACAAGGAUUUCCUGGCAUGGCUACAGGAGCAGCUGCCGGAGAAAGAAAAGAGGCAGAGGUACAGUGCCCUUGGCCUCCCUUAUUCUACCGGAGCAGCUGCAUUUUUAUCUGCUUUAUCAAUUGAACUCCAUGUACAAUUACACUGAAAUAAAAGCACUCUGCUGCUUUAAAAAAUGGUUGCAAACCAUUGGUUUGAUCAUGUCCUCCACUGUAAUAUCCAUUUUUCUAGACUGAAAAAUUGUGUUUAUCUUGAGCAUAGUCUUAACAUUUCUUUUUUAAAUUUUGGAUUCUUUAUGUAUCAGCAAAGAAUGGGAUUCUCUUUGCCACGGUUUUAUCCUUUUUCCAAAACAUGUACCAUUUUGUUUUGAUUGCUUUAAUCUUUUUGUUCUCUUCUCCUUAUGUUCAGCAUCAAAAUUGCUGUUUUACUCCUAGCCUAGGGACAGACAUGUUUGAUACCAUUUCAAAUAAAUAAUCUAACUGGAUAUUGGAGAGGAAAACAAUGUGAUCUCUCAGGUCUAGGAAUGGUUAUGUUACAUUAAUUUAUGCAAAGCCUUCUGUAUCACACUCCCUGUAGGAUUUCCUUUGGAAGCCUGACCACUACCUUUCAGGAGAGUGGAAUUUCAUGGCACAUAGGGUAAGGAUCAGUAUAACCCAAAGGGCUCUUUCAAUCACUUGCACUUCCCAUCUCUUUUUUUUCGGUGUGUUCUGUAUGAUGAGUAGAGAGACACAGCCUGUUUCCUGAGAGCCAGAGCUGCUUUCUGUUUAUGUGUGGACUUGGUGA